rnacentral:rRNA from 1 species
CAGGCCUAACACAUGCAAGUCGAACGAGACCUUCGGGUCUAGUGGCGCACGGGUGCGUAACGCGUGGGAAUCUGCCCCUUGGUUCGGAAUAACAGUUAGAAAUGACUGCUAAUACCGGAUAACGACGUAAGUCCAAAGAUUUAUCGCCGAGGGAUGAGCCCGCGUAGGAUUAGCUAGUUGGUGUGGUAAAGGCGCACCAAGGCGACGAUCCUUAGCUGGUCUGAGAGGAUGAUCAGCCACACUGGGACUGAGACACGGCCCAGACUCCUACGGGAGGCAGCAGUGGGGAAUAUUGGACAAUGGGCGCAAGCCUGAUCCAGCCAUACCGCGUGGGUGAAGAAGGCCUUCGGGUUGUAAAGCCCUUUUGUUGGGAAAGAAAUCCAGCCGGCUAAUACCUGGUUGGGAUGACGGUACCCAAAGAAUAAGCACCGGCUAACUUCGUGCCAGCAGCCGCGGUAAU